rnacentral:rRNA from 1 species
UACGGAGGGUGCAAGCGUUAAUCGGAAUUACUGGGCGUAAAGCGCGCGUAGGCGGUUUUUUAAGCUAGAUGUGAAAGCCCCGGGCUUAACCUGGGAAUUGCAUUUAGAACUGGGAGACUAGAGUACAGUAGAGGGGUGUGGAAUUUCCGGUGUAGCGGUGAAAUGCGUAGAGAUCGGAAGGAACAUCAGUGGCGAAGGCGACACCCUGGACUGAUACUGACGCUGAGGUGCGAAAGCGUGGGUAGCAAACAGG